rnacentral:rRNA from 1 species
GACGAACGCUGGCGGCGUGCCUAAUACAUGCAAGUCGAGCGGACCAAAGGGAGCUUGCUCCUGGAGGUUAGCGGCGAACGGGUGAGUAACACGUGGGCAACCUGCCUGUAAGACUGGGAUAACAUCGAGAAAUCGGUGCUAAUACCGGAUAAUAAAAAGAACUGCAUGGUUCUUUUUUGAAAGAUGGUUUCGGCUAUCACUUACAGAUGGGCCCGCGGCGCAUUAGCUAGUUGGUGAGGUAACGGCUCACCAAGGCAGCGAUGCGUAGCCGACCUGAGAGGGUGAUCGGCCACACUGGGACUGAGACACGGCCCAGACUCCUACGGGAGGCAGCAGUAGGGAAUCUUCCGCAAUGGACGAAGGUCUGACGGAGCAACGCCGCGUGAGUGAUGAAGGUUUUCGGAUCGUAAAACUCUGUUGUUAGGGAAGAACAAGUGCCGUUCGAAAGGGCGGCACCUUGACGGUACCUAACGAGAAAGCCACGGCUAACUACGUGCCAGCAGCCGACGG